rnacentral:lncRNA from 1 species
CUAUAUGUAAAACUGUCAAGAUCUCCAUGACAAAAAUAGCCAAACAUCUGCUCACCUAAGUUAUACAAAGAACUCAUUUUUGUUCUGGAUAAUUCCUUGUUGAGGAAUUAAGUGGUAAGAAUUAGUACUUGUUCUGCCAGAACACCUUGUAAUUAUCUAUGUAAGACAUCAGAUGUACAUGAGUAGUUUUAGAUAAGACCUGGUAUCUGUGGUCUUUAUGUUAAAAAAAGGCCUUUUUUAAGCUGCCUUUUUUUGUAAGUUUGUUUUUUUUUUUUAAUUUCUUUUCCACAGGCUCUAUUACUUAAAGAAAGAAGCACUUUAAUAAAGCAUGGAGGAUUUGUACAUAUGGGCCUCACCCAUGCAAAACUCUUCUUAAUACAUCCCAUAUAAAACUCAAGAUGAAAAGUUCUAGGCAGGUUUAUGAGACACUUAAGUGACCAUCCACACUUUUGACCUGGACCUAUGGAUACAAAGGAGAUGGAGUUUGCUGCAGACAAGAGAUUUUAUCCUGCAAAGAGCUAUCAAAACCUAGUUUAUUCCUCCCAGCAAGCCCACCUGCUUGUAAAACGAGUCUCUUGGCUCUCUAUACAAGUUUUCCAUCUUUACUGUCUUGAACUAACCAAUGGUUGAUUGGAUCAGUCAGAUGGAACAAUGAGAGAGCACAAGGUAAAAUAAUGAAUAACGAAAUGGUUUGAAUAGGAAGAAGGUUUAAUUUUGAAUGGUUACUUCCCUGUCCUUGUAACACAAAGCAAAUAUUUGAAGAUGUUUAAUUGUAGCAAACUGCUAAAUAAUAUCCAAAGAGCUCUUCAUCUACCAUGCUGUCAGACUGUGGAAGUCAUUGUCCAAGAAGUUGUUAAAGAUCAGAACACAUCAAGAUUAAAAUAGUUUAAAACACUUUAUGUUUGAUAUAUUUGGGCAGACCUCAUGUAUGAAAUAUGCCUUAUAAUGCUUCCCUCUCCUCAGUCAUUUACUGGAGUUGCUCUAAAAAGACCAGGCACCUGGCAGACCAAAUUAAACAUAUCUGCUUUGUCUCUACAGGCUGAAAAAGAGGUAAGAAUUAAA